rnacentral:lncRNA from 1 species
UGACUAUAAAAGCUACUUUUAAAUUUGACUCUCUGUCAUGUCUGAAUUACAGAUAUUUUCACCAUCUUAUCAAACUAAGUAAAUACAUCUGCGACAAUGCUACUUUCUCAAUACUUGAGCCAAGAAGAUACAUUGUGAUAUCAGAGAAAUAACAUUAACCUUCCACUCCGCCAUAGGAUUAUAUUGAAAUCGUAAACCCAAGAGCACCACCAAAGCAAGCAACUCCCAGAAACGACUCCGCCUGUCUGAUGUCUAGUCCUGCAGCUGCACGUCAUGACCGCCGCCAGCGAUGGAGGCACGGCCACCGUCAUCAUCUCCACCUGAGGCGUCUCCUUCCUCCUCCGUGCGGGUUCUCGCUUACAAGUCUCCCCCUGCCUGCCUCCCUCUCCUCCGCAGCCCCCGCACGAGGCCACGUGAUCGUUGUCAGCUUCAUGGGUGGUAGGGGCAGGGACCCGCCACCCAUUCCGGAAUCACGGCGAUUCCAGGGAGUGCUUGGCUUGCCUGCUGUCCAUUCAUACGGCUCUGCGUCGCAACCACUAUCAUCAAUGGAGCCACAACCGUUGUCCUCUCCGCCUCAGGCUCAGACAUACAUGAGCUAGAUAAAUCCUUAUUACUCUCCACAAGCAACGUUGUCAUGAAACAUAUAGGAGCAAGCUAUAUCACAAAUUAUUCUCAGGAGCUAGUUAAGUUACCAACAAUCAUUUAUUAUUAACCUCAAGCACUACUUUAUUUCAAAGAACAUAAAAAUGAGGAAAAUCUGAACAAACAUAACCAUUUGGAUUUUGGACACUGCUGAGAUCAAUAUUCAGAUAUCUUGAUUUUUUAAAAAGCCUAUCAAUGCUUUUGGAAUAGUUAUGAUCGGAAUGGGCCAUUUGUUCUGAGAUUUGACGAAUACACAGUAUGUUCUCAUAUGGCAACCUGUACAUGAACACCAACCUGCUGAGACCAAAAAAAUUUGCGAACGUACUUGCUGAAUAAUAUAAUAUAUAGUCUGCAAUCAAAAUAGUGUAUCUCGGUCUUUUGUCAGCAACAUCUAAGAUUUCGUAAGCUCUAACAGUAAAAGACCAUCAAGUGCAAGAAUUGGAACAUGGAAGAAGCUUACGUGGGCAUGAUGCCAUCGGGUUGUAUGCCAAGAUCGUGGUUGUAGAGCUCCCUCUAUCUCCCUUGCCAAGCUCUCCCUCCGACCAGCAAUAGAACAACUGCUCUUGCUGCUUUUGAACUCUCCUCGAGUAAACGCGGGAACUGAGAUUGAAUGUGGAUGAAGUGAUCACCUUGAAGAUGCGUGGCUUGAGGUGCUUGGAGCAGAUCCAUCACGCGCGUGCCCCUCUACUCCUACGGCUUCAUCAAGAUGAAGAGGCUAGAGAGAAGGAGCGACAGAGGUCGUCCCCUCUCCCUCCGCUGGCAGACCCAAACCAUCAGUUAGAACGCGGCUAGGGCGCGGGGAGGCCAUGCCAUCACGGAUCAACAGCGAGAAUGCAGGCCCUCACAAGUUGUAAGCGCCCCUGACCACCACGUCGGCAUGGUUGAGAAGAGAUGGAUCUGGGCGGUGGUUUCCGGUGACGAGCGAAAUAGAAGUUGCUUGUACCCAUAGUAGCUGUGUCGGCAACGGCCAUCACAAUGAAAUAUAAUCAAUGCGUGUCGUCCUGAGUUCCUGAAAGUUUUCACCUGGAUUUUC